CCGGAAGCAGACCGGAGUCAGCUGCCUUCCAAAAAUCACGUUCAGGAUUCCUGUCGAUUGCACCAGACUUUCCUCUGCUGGCCUGUAAAUAGCAGUGACAUUUAAGGGGGCUUGCAAAGCUCUUGUGCUUUUUAUCGAAAGGCGAUGUGAGCGUGCCAAACCAACCAACCAACCAACCAACCAAAACAAAAUAAAUCUAUUUAUAUGCCCCGCCCAUCUCUUAUUUGGCAUUUAUAGCCGCCAAUCUUUAGGUCGCCCUGCAGGAUCAUUUCAGCUGGCAGGUUUCUGUGUUAGCCUGGCAAUGGGCAGGGUCUGGGCAUAAGUUCUUUCAUAUAAUAUACUCUUCAACUUACAACAGUUCCUUUAGUGACCGUUCCAAGGUACAACAGCAUUAAAAAAAGAAAUUUAUACUGCCGCCUAUUCGCACACGGCGACUCAAGACGGCUUACAGGAAUAUAAAAACCUCAUAUAUAAAACAAUAAAACUAAUUUGCAUUGUGUAUUUUAACUUUUGGAAAUUUAAUAAAUAUUAAAGAAAAAUAAUAAAAGAGAAUAAUCAUGUAAUAAAUUUAUAAAAUGUGAAUUUAUAAAAUUCAUUGUUUCCCCACCUGACCUUGGGGUAACUUUGGGGGUCUUAUAAUGGUAAAAGAUGAACACGGUGCAAUGCUGGCAAAAGGCAAAUAGAAUUAAAAUUAAAAUAAUAUUCAGAAAGAGAGUCCUGGAUGUGGGCGAGCGUCUUCCUUCGUUCUCCGGACUGCAAAACGUGCCUGGCAGCAGAUGGCAGUGCCUGAAACCAGAGCUGGGCCAAGAUGACGUUGGGGCGCCUGGCGGAAUCAAGAGGCCACCGACUAGGCGCAGGUGUUUGCCCUCCCCAGAGGCCCUCCUGGCACCCGGGCAGAGUCAGCUGCAGCCGAAAAACAAUCUGAGCUGGCACCACUCUGCCCAGGUGUGACACCCAGCACCAAAGAGGGUCUCCUGAAGCAGCUGCUGAGCAGCCGGCUUUGCCUUCCCGGCUGGGGUGGGCAGCGAGCGCGGGUGGCAAAGCCAGCAGAGUUCCUGGUUCUUCUCGCUGCCCACCCAAUGAUGGGAGAAGCAGCGGAGGGAUUCUCUGGAGCAAGGGGUCUCCAGCCUUGGCAACUUCCUGGCCGGCUUCAGUCUUCAGUCCGCCAGGUUUAAAGUUGCCAAGGUCGGAGAGCCCUGCUCUGGAAGGCCUUGCCAAGAGCAGGGAAAUGAGAACAGGCAGGGGGGUCCACAACGUGGCACCAUUCAAUUAGGGACCGAAGUUACAACGGCGCUGAAAGGGCUCACGACCGUUUUUCACACUUACGACCGUUGCAGCAUCUCCACGGUUAAGGGAUCAAAAUUCAGGUGUUUGGGUUCAUAUUUAUGACGGUCGCAGGUUUCUCGGGCGGGGGAGGUCGUGAUCCUCUUUUGCGACCUUCUUUGACCAAGAAACUCAAGGAGGAAGGCAGGUUCCCUGAAGAACAGGGUUGCUAGCCUGGGACCCUGGGCAGGGAUUCGCUCAACGGUAUAUAAAUAUACCGUUAAGUUCUCUCCAGAUUUAAUAUAAAUCAAAAUAAUAAAAUAAAUAAACGGUGGUGCCCAGAAACAUCGGAAACUGGAGCAAAACUCACUGCCUUGCUUAGCAAUGGAAAUCUGGGGCUCAAAUGAGGUCGUAUAUUGUGCCAAUAGGCGGCCAAGCUGUCUCGUGUCCCCCCCCCCAGAGACAUCUGCAGCCAAGCUUGCAUUUAUGCUGCCGCUGGGCCUUCAUGUGGUCUAGGAACGCUGGGCCUCACAGUCAAAGCCGGCAGAAGCAAAGGGGCUGCUAUGGGACGGGAGGGACUCAGAAAGGGGCCCAAAGAAGCCCCAUUUUGCCAGCUGCUCUGCUCUCCUUUCUACUGGGCGCUCCAAGCGGUCUGUGGCUUAUGGGGCUGGAAUGUCUGUCACUUAAGUGAGGCGGUUGUUCAAUGAGCCCAGCCUUAUCACUUUUUUGCCACGGUUGCUAAGCGAAUCCUAUGGUCCUUAAGCGAAACCUGUUUCCCCCCCCUCCCACUGACUUUGCUUCUGGGGAAGUCCCAAGCGCCCCAAUUUUGGUCAUAUGCUUAGCUACAACGUGAGGAUAAGUCCCCCUUUUUUGCACCACCCUCGUAACUCUGAGUGGUCAUUAAAGGGAUCGUUGUAAGUCCAGGACACUCUGCCCUGUGGGGCUGCCAUGCCAAGAGGAGUGGAGGUCUUCUGCCCCGUUUUCUUCGUGCUCCUCCUGGCAUCCCUGCCACGUUCAGCAAGUCUCGUCUUUUGCCCAAGCAGCCGGGCAGGGAAGCGGUUGGGCAGGGAGGGGAGCUACCUGAAAAGCCCUUUGUGCUGCUCUGCAUGUUUUAGCCCGGAGCCAAGGCAGGAAGGCGGCCAGGGCAUCGCCCCCACUCUGGGGCCAAGGAAGGAGGAGACUCUGUGUAGCUCAGGGUGGAAAGGAAGGGGCCUCAGGGCUCCCUGAGCUGGGUGGGUUUCGGGCAGACGUUUCAUGACCCAAUGUUGUGACUCGUCCCCCCUCCUCUCCUCGGCCGGCCCCCUCCCGUCUCCAACCGGGCCUGUUAUCAGACUCUGAGUCUGAUAAUGAAGAUGAAUGGCCUGUCAUGCCUCCAGCCCCCGGCCCUGGCCCUGGCGUGUGUUCCUUUGGCUCAGCUGUCAGAGGAAGCCAGCCCGGUAUUGGAAUUGCCCGGGCCUACUCCUUCUGACCCCUCCCUUUCCCAAACAGCAGAAGACAAUUCAAAGUGGGAGGACCCUCGCUUCCGGAGAUCUGAGAGGCGACGCCAGCAGAAGGGAGGGGCAGGCCUGGAUAAAUGCUGAGUCAUGGAGCCACACCCCACAGCCUAUACAAAGGACCUGCUUUUGGCAUUCCAACCUUGAGUCAAGCAAAGUCUUAUCUAGUUUGCUGAUAUCGGACCCUAUCGCUGAAGUCACAACUUGGACUCCUGCCUGCCCUGAUAAACCUCGAAGGGACUUGGCAAGCUGCAGAGGCUUCGUUGCCCAGUUUGCCACGGACUUCCUUGACUCGUUCAUCGGAGUGGGGGGUGGGACACGACACCCAACUAGGGAAUGUUAUCAGUGCUAGAAGGGAGGGGGGGUUUGUGGGGAAGAAGUGGUGGUGGUGGUGGAGGAGGAUAGGACGAGGGGGAAGAAGAGGAAGUUGGGUCUGAGGAGGUGGAGGACUGAGGGGUCCUUUGUGCUCUCUGAGCUUGGUGGUUUUCUAGCAGACGUUUCAUGACCCAACUAGGGAACAUGAUCAGUCCUACAAGGAAGAAUGGUGGGAGGAGAAUAUCAUGAGGAUCACCGAGGGAUCCUUGGCAGGGAUGAAAUCUACUUACCUUCCUUACUGGUUUGGAAGUGCACACAUGGCUCAGUUUGCUUGCACGCAUCACAUGCACGCACAGACCUGCGCACGCGCAAAACCUUCUGCGCAGGCACAGAAGGUAAAAAACACAUUACUUCCCGGUUAAAACCAGGAAGCUUUGCUCCGCCAUCGCUACCGGAUCGCCAAACCACCGGCCACGAUUGCUACCGGAUCGUGCAAUCCGGUCCGGUCCGGUCCGUGCAUUUCACCCCUGAUCCUUGGUGCCCUCUGAACUUGGUGGUUUCCUUGCAGACAUUUCAUGACCCAACUAGGUAGCAUCAUCAGUGCUGGAAGAGGGAGGUUGUAGAAAGGAGGAAGAGGAAGGAAUGAAGGGGCGGGGGGAGACAAAGAGGAGGGAGGAGGAUUAUGGGCCUUUAUUGACCUCUGAGCGGAGUUGUUUUCUUGCAGACUUCAUGACCCAUAGAGGCAACAUCAUCAGUGUUAGAAGGCAAGGGUAUGUGUGUGUGUGUGUGAUGCAGAGUGGAGGAGGAUGCACCCUGUGGGAUCCUUGGGUGUUCUGAGCUGGGUGGUUUUCUGGCAGACGAAGGAGACCAGAAAGGACCCCUCAAAACAUCACCGCAUCUCAGAGGCCACCAGGAGCCCCCCACCCCACCAAAGGCCCGGCUAUGCAAUCAGGCCUGGGGCUCCCAGGGAAUGGAGACGGGGCCAACCAAUGCUGCGAGUGCUCAUACUUGGCCCAGAGCUCAAAUUUUUUAUUUUAUAGCAUUUUUUAAAAUCUGGACUUUAGAUUGAUUGUAGAUUCUGUUUUUAUAGUGUGUUCAAUUGCUGUAAGUUGCAUCUCGGGAGAUGGG